CUGGUGAGGGAUGGGCUCGCGGCCUAUCAGCUUGUUGGUGGGGUAAUGGCCUACCAAGGCGAUGACGGGUAGCCGGCCUGAGAGGGCGACCGGCCACACUGGGACUGAGACACGGCCCAG
rnacentral:rRNA from 1 species